rnacentral:rRNA from 1 species
UAGGGAAUCUUCCACAAUGGACGCAAGUCUGAUGGAGCAACGCCGCGUGAGUGAAGAAGGUUUUCGGAUCGUAAAGCUCUGUUGUUGGUGAAGAAGGAUAGAGGCAGUAACUGGUCUUUAUUUGACGGUAAUCAACCAGAAAGUCACGGCUAACUACGUGCCAGCAGCCGCGGUAAUACGUAGGUGGCAAGCGUUGUCCGGAUUUAUUGGGCGUAAAGCGAGCGCAGGCGGAAUGAUAAGUCUGAUGUGAAAGCCCACGGCUCAACCGUGGAACUGCAUCGGAAACUGUCAUUCUUGAGUGCAGAAGAGGAGAGUGGAACUCCAUGUGUAGCGGUGGAAUGCGUAGAUAUAUGGAAGAACACCAGUGGCGAAGGCGGCUCUCUGGUCUGCAACUGACGCUGAGGCUCGAAAGCAUGGGUAGCGAACAGGAUUAGAUACCCUGGUAGUCCAUGCCGUAAAACGAUGAGCGCUAGGUGUUGGG